rnacentral:rRNA from 1 species
UACGGAGGGGGCUAGCGUUGUUCGGAAUUACUGGGCGUAAAGCGCACGUAGGCGGAUCAGCAAGUUAGGGGUGAAAUCCCGGGGCUCAACCCCGGAACUGCCUUUAAAACUGUUGGUCUGGAGGUCGAGAGAGGUGAGUGGAAUUCCGAGUGUAGAGGUGAAAUUCGUAGAUAUUCGGAGGAACACCUGAGGCGAAGGCGGGCUACUGGGCUGAUACUGACGCUGAGGCGCGAAAGCUAGGGGAGCAAACGGG